UACGUAGGGGGCUAGCGUUGUCCGGAAUCAUUGGGCGUAAAGAGCGUGUAGGCGGCCCGGUAAGUCCGCUGUAAAAGUCAAAGGCUCAACCUUUGAAUGUCAGUGGAUACUGUCGGGCUAGAGUCCGGAAGAGGCGAGUGGAACUCCUGGUGUAGCGGUGAAAUGCGCAGAUAUCAGGAAGAACACCCGUGGCGAAAGCGGCUCUCUGGAACGGUACUGACGCUGAGACGCGAAAGCGUGGGGAGCGAACAGG
rnacentral:rRNA from 1 species